rnacentral:snRNA from 1 species
GAAGCAAGUGUGAUCAGGCUUCAACAUCUGUCACUACCUUUGAUUUGGCUGAUCUGGGUGUGUAGGUAAGUGUUCCCUUUCCUCUUCAUUGCUUCAUGUUUGUCCCCUACUGAAACUUUUCAACAUUUGGUCAAAAAGGAUGACCUUCCCCAAUAGAGGGGACAAGUCUUUGUCCAAGGGUAUGGAAUAGCUGCGAUCUCCUGCUAGAACUUCCAAGUAAGUUCUCAAAACCAGAUAACGAAUCUAUAUCCUAGUAAAGAAUUUAGACCCACAUUUAAGAACAGCAUUCAUGU